UCAGAAGGCAUUGCAGCUUAGAACCAUGGGGACCUAAAGGGACCGCCACUCUUCACAGCCCCACAUCCCUUCCCCUUCAUGGUUCACCCUCCUCCCUGCCUCCUGCAUGCAGGUCUCAUGCAUGAGGCAUGGGUGAGGACCCAUGUCCCUGAAGCUGCUUUACAGACAAAAGUACCUGUACGGUGUCACAAACUGUGUGUGUCGUCAGACACAUGGACACAGUAUGUCAUUGAGCAGUACAAUGUUAGCUAGAACAUAGCCAGUUGGUGUCUUUUUGAGACAAUCUAUUCACAUGUCAGAUCCUCUGCUGCUGCCUUCAACAUCUGGAAACCCCUGUUGAUACCGAAUACAGCUCCGGCGGAGACGCAGUCUGGGAAGGGCUUGGUUGAUCUAAAGUCAAGCUACAAGUGGCAGCGUUAGAAUGGUAACUCAAGCGUUUGGCCGCCUGAAGGAUGCAUGUGAGAGGUUACAGCCUCCUUGUGGAGACAACCGCUAGUGGGUUUCCUCUCCGCGCCCGGGAGGCUACAGUCCUGGGCUCCCAGCUCUCACAGUCCAAAGCUACGAAUGCCCCAGGACCACCGGGUUCGCCGCCGCCACUCCCUCCAGCUGAGCGGCUCCUGCAGCAAGAGCCUCCACCUCCCGCGCGCGGCACAAUGUCAUGGGGGACAUGAUUCACACAGUUUCUAAGUUCCCUCCACUCCUACACCCUGGCUUCCUGCCCACUGACUCAGGGUAUGGUGAUUGGCUUACCUUGGUCAAAAGAAGGGGACUUGGACAGCACAGACCCCGGGCAGCCAGAGGCCUUCCAUACCUGCACUCAAGCGCUCUAUCUAGUGAUGGAUUCUUGGACUUCUGACUUGCCCUGUAAGUGGCCCCAAGCUGGAACCCACCCAGAAGCCUGAAGAGCUCCACGAUCCCCCAGAGAAUCUACAGACCUAUGAGCCAGAAAUAAAGAUUUGUUGUUAUAACCUUUGAGAUACAGUCCUAUCAUCAGAAAGCGGAAGACAGAAGUAACAGCUGGUCUAUGUUAAAGAGAAUAAGAAUCAUAUUAAUGAUGGCUGAGGUUUAUUGAGCAUCACUGUGAAUGAGCCACUGUUCUAAGUGUUUAAAUGAAUUGUACUCAAUUAUCAGAAUCAUCCUGGGAGCCACAGAGAGGACUGGAGGAGAAGAAAAGAAGCAGGAAAGGGAACUUGUGUCAACAGUGUUCAGCGUGUUUCUCUUUCCAGAACACUGCACGUCUUGGUCGUUUUCAUCUGAGAGGCAUCCUCCUAGAGUGGUGUUUAAUUCAGCCACUCCAUCGACCUGUCAGACAAACUCGAGUUCUGUUGGUGAGAAAGAAACACACUGGGUGGUGGGAGGCAGAGGCAGACAAAUCUCUGUGAGUUCAAGACCAGCCUGAUGUACAGAACGAGUUCCAGGACAGCAAGGAGUAUUGAGAGAAACCCUGUCUCAA